UUGUAUAGGAUAAGAUUGAAAUGGAAUGUGAAGGUGAGAGAAGAUCAGAUUUUUGAGGGAAGGUUAAGGGAGUGAAAUCAGGGUAAUUCAGGGGUAUAUUGGGUAAAGAACUUAGGGGAAUCUUGCAUUAACCUCCUGGGAAGCUUCUUUGAAGCUUAAAGAAGGCUUGACUUGGCCAACAAGUCAGGAUUUUAGGGAUUGGAUAGCAAACAAUAAGAAUUAGCCAGGGACUGAUUUGAAAACUGAACAUAUUUGGAGCUGCCCUAAGAGCUGCAUAUAAAAGGAUAUCUAAGAGAGUCUUAAAGAGGGGAAGAGAGAAAAAAUCUGGAAGGAUUAGAGAGCUAAGAAUCUGAAAACACAAAUGGCUGCAAAUCUACUGUUUCCUUGGAUUUUUUGACUGGUUUUUCAGCUUUUUCUUGAUUCACUGAAAUACUUUUGAGUAAUGUUUAAUCUUUCAAUCCCAGAAAUCCCAAAAGAAAAACAUUUUUCUUUUAUGCCAGUUUUAGAUUAGCUUUCAGCAUUCAAACACACAAAAUACAAAAAAAUAUGUAUUCAUAAUUAGAAAAACCAAAAAAAAUGGUGAAACUCAAAAAUAAACACUCUCAAUUUGAUUUUCUGUCUAAAUUUUAGUUUAGGUAACUGAAUCACAUUCCUGAAGUUCAUUUUGGCAUUUUGAAGAUCAAGGAAAAUUACUGUUGGGUUUCUAGUAAUAUGGAUUUCAUUUGAUCAGGCCUAGUCCUUCUAAUUGGGUAUUCUGAUUGUCAAAGUUGUCUCUGAAGUGCACUGUGGUGAUUGUUUUGUGGUCAUUAUGUCUUCUGGUUUUACUACGAUUUCCUGGGUUUACAAACUAUUUCUAGGUUGAUUAAGUUGAGGCUGGUUGUGGUUGAUCGCUGCUUGUUGUUGUUGUUUGUGCACUGCUGCCUACUGCUGAUUUUUCCCCUUCUUUGUUCUUCAAUUUCCAAUUCACCCUUUUGUAACUUUGUUGGACAUGAAGCUCGAAGUUGAAAGCAUGAACUGAUAUGAAGAUUUGACCUGUUCUAUGAUAUAUUUGUACUAGAUUACUCAAUUUAUCAUGUUGGCUGUUAAAAAUGAUUUGAAUUCCUAGCCUGCUAUGUAAUUUUAGUCAUGUGAUUAAGUUCCUCUGGUGUUAUUUGCUUGCAACAAUAGCUCACUGCUGUAGUUUUGUCUUGUUCAAAUGAUGGUUCAUGUGUAAGGUGACCUUAAUGUUGGUGAAUUUGUGAAUAUGGACACCUGCUGUUUAAAGCUCAAGUUCUUUUGAAUUGGUUUGAAGAUGGAAUUGGCCAUUACAUGGCCUGGG
rnacentral:lncRNA from 1 species